GUGGGCCUAGGAUCGAAGCGUCACUGCCGGUGGGCUGGUUUCCGGUGGACGGAGGGUGUUGGAGGUUGAAAGUUGUUUGGUGUCUGCGCCAUGGGUUACAGCGGCCUGACAGUGCCCAUUAUCGUCCUCACCGUCUUCUGGGGCGUCGUGGGCGGUGUUGUGCCUUGGUUCAUUCCUAAAGGACCGAAUAGAGGUGUUAUUAAUACUAUGCUUGUGACAAGUGCUGUUUGCUGCUACCUUUUCUGGCUCAUUGCAAUCCUGUCCCAAUUAAACCCCCUUUUUGGUCCACAAUUGAAAAAUGAAACAAUCUGGUACUUGCUCCAUGAAUGGCCAUGAAUUCAUCAGCAAAUAUUUUUCUAUGGAGAUCAGGUUCAAUCUUGCCUCCUUGCUUUGUGUUCUAUGCCUCACAAAUGGCAUCCUAUGUGACUGUGACAAAGAGAAAGAAGAUACCUUUUAAAAUCACUACAAAUGAUUAAUUUCUUUUGCAUCUGAGCAGCCUUCUUAAAUGGAAACUUUUCCAAACUGCGUUCAACAGCAGUCGAUUAUGUGGAAUUUUACAUUCUGAUUUGAGAGAUUUUGGAAUUGACUCUUGAAUUUGAAGUAAUAAGACUAACAUGAAUAUUUAGCAGUAAUGUAUUGGAAAUCUAAAUGCGUCUUAAACUCCUCAGCUGUAGAGCAUUUUGGACAAUUUUUAUAACAUUUAUACUAAGAUGUGAAAAAAACCACCAGAAUGUAGUUCUGUGGGGAAAUGUCAUUUGUUUCAAACAAAUGUUUAUUUUCUGGGGUCUUAUUUUUGUACUAACCUGACUGUGUACUGCUAUAGGAAUAUGCAGGUUUAGUUAAAACGCCUAUAUACUGCUUUCAUAUUUCUUGCCUUCUGUUGUUUACUAAAAUCAAAAUUCAUUUCAAAUCUGAUCCUGGAAACAAUUUAAUAAAUACUUAUUGAAAAA